rnacentral:rRNA from 1 species
UACAGAGGUCUCAAGCGUUGUUCGGAAUUACUGGGCGUAAAGGGCGCGUAGGCGGUUCGCUAAGUUGGAUGUGAAAACUCUGGGCUCAACCCAGAGCCUGCAUCCAAAACUGGCGGGCUAGAGUUCUGGAGGGGGUAGCGGAAUUCCUGGUGUAGCGGUGAAAUGCGUAGAUAUCAGGAGGAACACCGGUGGCGAAGGCGGCUACCUGGACAGAAACUGACGCUGAGGCGCGAAAGCUAGGGGAGCAAACAGG